AGUAAAAAAUUCUAGAUUAAUCUAGAUUCUUCUUAUUCAUUUCCCCUCUUCUUUUCUCAUGCUCCAAACAGUUUAUCGACUCCAAUAUAAAUUUACGUUGAUUUUGGGUGUCCUGGAGAAGAGUGGUGAGACCAAGGAUUUAGCUGCCGGCGAUGGACCGUAUAACCUACCUCAAUUGUUCUUGUGUUAGGUUUGAAAUUAACUAUUCACUAAAGAAGAGCGGAAGGAGGAUGUUCAAGUCUGAACUGUUUCAAAUUGGGGAUGUCUUGAACGUUAGGACCUCCAGGCUGUUGAUGCAUUUCCAAAACUGUUAAUUAGCUAUCGAAGAAAUUGCUGCCUCAACAGGCAUGAUGCUAAGGUGCUAAAAUCCUCGUCCCAAUCUCUUACAUCAUUUAUAUUAUGAUUCUUUAUUCUAAACUGGAGAAUCUUCCAUAGGUUUGUAAAAAAAGAUCGGUAAUUUUCGUUUACUUGCUUCUGCAGAGUAGCUGUCUUGGCUGGAAUUUCGUUUCCGUUUCCAUUGUUCGAGCACAAACAGAAAUAGUGCUCUGCGAAAAGUUUUCUAUAAUUCUUGGUAGUAACAAAACUACUCUACUUCUUGUUGUUAUUACGGCUUAAAUUUGUGUUAUUUUCACAAUAUUUCUUUGAAUUGUUGUUGCUCUCGUUUAAGAUAUAACACCAUUUUCAUCAUAUUUCUUUUAGCAGUGAGAUUGAUGAGACAGGACAAUGAUUGGACACUUUUAGCUUCUUCUACUUUUAUUAGUGCAUUAGGUGCUAUCCACUAAUAACCGCAAGUUUGAUUACAAUACUGCUACUAGCUAGAAAAUGAGGAUUUACUUUUAUAUGUUGUUCUGUAAUUAAUUCCAAACUCUAUGUUAAACCUUUGAGCAAACUUAAUAAUGUCUUCAAUUUCAGAUGAUAAGAUGUUCUCUGAAGCAAGCAAAAUUUUUCGCGAGGAUUUUCCUCACAUCAGAUGAAAUGACUUUUGACAUCAAGGAACAUGAACCUGUGGCUCUUGGAAAACCCCAUGGUAGUUAGUUAAGGAUUUGAACAUCAACUAUAAGUCAACUAUAAGUUCUUUACUAUUUUGACUCUAAACUCUAAAGAUUAAACUUUAGUGACCUUGUUUUCGGUUGUCUAUGUAUACUUAGGUUUGUUGAAACAAAUACUUAACGAAACGGUGGGAACGCAUUUAGACGUGGUGCAUGUUGAAAUUGGAAGCCAUGGCAAAUUUUUUGAAUACACAUUGAUAAUUUAGUUAACAAACUUUACACGGCUCUAAUGCAUGCAAGUACAAAAGCCGCCAUCCAUGCAGUGAGGUGGUUGCAAAUUAACAAUGGAUUCACAUGGGGCCUUUGGCAUUAUGGAAAGAUGGCUUCUCGCCUCAUUUGUCAAGAUUUGCACAUAGAAAUGGCGGCCAUCUCGGGGGAUUUUAUGCCGAAAUUGUUGAUUUUGAAAGGCUUGCAUCUUAUAAUUACAUUGUGAAUAGAGUUCUCGGUUUGAUAGCUAA
rnacentral:lncRNA from 1 species